rnacentral:rRNA from 1 species
UGCAUGAAGUCGGAAUUGCUAGUAAUCNCGGAUCAGCAUGCCGCGGUGAAUACGUUCCCGGGCCUUGUACACACCGCCCGUCACACCAUGGGAGCCGGUAAUACCCGAAGUCAGUAGUCCAACCUCGUGAGGACGCUGCCGAAGGUAGGAUUGGCGACUGGGGUGAAGUCGUAACAAGGUAGC